GCCCCGGUGGCACAGCUGGAUAGCGCGGUCCCCUCCUAAGGGACAGGUCUCAGGUUCGAAUCCUGAUCGGGGCACCA
rnacentral:tRNA from 1 species